rnacentral:lncRNA from 1 species
UUAAAAAAAAUCUGAUAUUAUUAAUAUAAAAUUUAUUUUAAUUAUUUAGAUAAAUUAUAUACAAAAUUCAUUGUACUGCUUCAAAACCACUCUUUUCAUAUAUGCGUUCAAUCAAAGUAUAACAAAAUUUGCUCAAUUUUGCAGAUUUUUAUUGAGAAAUUGGCUAAUUGAUAUUUAAAUUUUAUCCAACCUUAUUAGCGUCAGCUAGCAAGGGAAAACACGAGAUGUGACUAUUCCUCGUAUCUUAAUAGUUAAAUAUCAUGAUUAAUAUAUGUUAUAUAAAAUAUUUGAAUAUCAAAAAUUGAUUUAGGAGGUUCUAGGAUAUAUUUUAUAUAUAUAUUAUCUUUGUUUUAGUUAUCUUAUAUGUAUAUAUUUUUGUUUCUUAUACAUAAUUUACAAGAAAAAAAAAACAAAAUUUCAGAGAAAAAUUAAGUAAAAUUUAAGUAAUCUUAAGUAAUUUUAGUAAAACUUUAGAAAAAUUUUAGUAAAACUUUAGCAAUUUUUUAGCUGAUAAAUGUCAUUACUGCUUUUUUGGUUGUUUUUUUGGUUGCUUUUGUAUAUGAAAAAUAUACAGAGACAAUUCUCAGUCUUAAUUGGAGGUUUUUCGUCGAUUUGCAAAUAUCUUCUGCACCAACUCCGAGGUUUGAAGUGACUGAUGUCUCCACUUUCAUGAGCCCUCCUUGACUUGGUCAUAUACUAAGAAGACUACCAGGUAGUUUUCCAAGUCUUCUCUUUGAUUUCCGCUCCAAUGGUUUUAGGGUUUAGCAUAGAAUCUUUGCUUCUUUAUGCUGGAAACACACGUUCACAUAUUUGGCUAUGCAAGUUGAUAAAUAAAUGUGAUCUUCACUUAUGUUAUGAUAGUUGAAUGAUUUGAUAAUGUGUUUGGUCUGGUUGUUGUGUAACAUCCAGGAAACCUAUAAUGAUUUGUAGGUUGAGAAAAACUGAGCAAAUUGAUAUUGAUUAUGUAUAUUGACAAAAAUAAAGAAAAUGAUAUCAAUGCUAUAUAUAACACAACCAUAUCAAAACCAGUAUUGGACUCUGUUUAAUUUUCAAGAUUACGGAUGAGGAGAUUGGUGUGUAUUGUUGCGUUGUUCGACUUUCUGGAUGUGGUGAAGGCCCGUGUGAGUACAAAGAUUCUGAGAUGUUGCUUCACGGAAUGGCAACCAUACACACUCGCUUGGAUACUUCCCGGUGGACUUAGGGCUAAUGGCUCUUGGUUUUCUGAUUGGAGUAUGCAUUUAUUUAUUUCGUGCUUCGAAAAGGAAUACAUAUUUAUAACUACAUUUAUUAUUAAAUUAAAAAAAUUGAGCUUACUUAUCUUUUAUACAUUUUUUUAUUUUAACUGUCUAUGGUUAAAAAUAUUCUUUUUGGAUAACAACAUAAUAUAUGUAUGAAUUAUCUUUUUUAAUAUAUUUUCAUUUUGGCCAAUUUAUAUAUAUUAAUUUAUAAAUAAUUGUCUAAUAAAAUUUUAAUUAAUUAUUAUUUAUUAAAAGUAAUGACGAUAUUAAAAAUCUAACUUUAAAUGUGUGUGCCAAAAAUUACCUCACAAAUAAUAAUAUAAAUAGAUAGAUAGAUAAAAAUAUUAUUUGAAGGCACAAACAAAUAGUUUACGAAACUGCAUAAUAUAAGUUUAAAAUCUCCUAGACAUUAUUUACCAAGCGAUUUUGACACAAGUCAUCACCAGAAUCAAUUUCACAAAAUAAAUGUGACAUAGAUGAUUACAUUUAAUGUUGAUUUAUAUUUUUUGUAAUUGUUUUUAGAAUAUUGUAGUAAAUUAUACAUCAUCAUUAAAGUAUAUCUAUUGAAAUAUGACAUUAAAUAGUUUAUUUUGUCAAACGACAUUAAAUAGUAUAAUAGUAUAAAUAUAAUAAUAUUUUACAAAUUUUGAAAUAUUAUUUAUUUAUAUUUUUGUAAUUAUACAAUUUAUUGCCAAAAAUUAUUUUCAAAUUUUUCUACGAUUUUUUUUUAAAUUAUAAUUUUUUAUUCGUAAUAUCAUUAGUUUUUUUAUAUAUCUACAAAAUUUAGAAAUACUGUUUAGUUUUAUUUUUUGAUAAUUAUACAAUUUUUUUAACAAAAUUUUUAAUUAAAUUUAUACAAGUUGAUUUAAUAUAUUUUAUCCAAAAAUAAAAAGAUAAAAGAUAUGUCUAAUAUUAUAAUUUAAUAUAUAUAUAUAUAUAUAUUAUAUGGUUGAAAAUAAAAAAUGUUUAAUUUAUCUGAAUUUUAUUUCAACUAAACCAAAAUUUAAUUUAAAAUAUUGUAAGAAAAUAAUAAAAUUUAUAAUAAUAAUAUAAUUUUAUUUUUAUAUAUAAUUUACAUUUAAAAUUUUUAAAAAAUUUUGUUGCUCAUUGUGCAGGAAAACACCUAGUUGACAAUAUUUACAUCGUUACACUUGAAAUAAUAUUUGAAAUUUAAACAAUUUAUUUUUCGUUUUACUUACCAAAUUGAGUUUAGAAAAGUCAAUAAUAUUCUGAUGGGUCAAUAAAACAACAAAGAGAAAGCAAAAGCUACAGAGUUUUGAGUUAAAAGCUCUACAAGACAUCUCGAUGAGCUUCCUCUCUCAAGACUUCAAGAAGACAUUGACUUCUUGUCUCUAAACAGUUGACUUUUAGAAGAAAGGAAGAUCGGGAGAUGGAGGCUGCCGUUCUAUCGAAGCGGCAUAGGCUCAAGUAUGACGUCUUCCUCAGUUUCAGAGGCAAAGACACGCGUGCUGACUUCGCAGAGCGUCUCUACACGGAGAUAAAGAGAGAGGUCAAGAUCUUCCGCGACAACGAAGGUAUGGAACGAGGGGAAGAGAUCAAUGCAAGCCUCAUCGCAGGCAUGGAGGACUCGGCGGCCUCCCUCGUCCUCUUCUCCCCUCACUACGCUGACUCCCGCUGGUGCCUAGAUGAGUUAGCUACGCUCUGUGAUCUGAGUUCAUCUCUCGAUCGUCCCAUGAUACCCAUCUUUUACAAGGUAGAUCCCUCCCAUGUACGCAAGCAGAGCGGUGAUUUCGUGAAGCAUUUUGAAGCACACGCCGAAAGAUUUAGCAAGGAAAGGAUACAGCCAUGGAGAGAAGCUAUGAAACUAGUUGGACAUCUCCCUGGCUUUAUUUACAGGUAUAAUACAACCUCCUGUAGUUUUAUGAUCAUGUGGAUUGAAGUUAUUAGAUUCUUGAACUUUUGGAACUUGGCAGAGAAGGAGAAAAUGAGGAUGCGCUGAUAAGGCUAGUGGUGAAGAGGGUUUUAGCUGAGAAGAACAAUACACCAGAGAAAGUUGGAGAGUACACCGUUGGCUUGGAGUCACGUGUUGAUGAUUUGAUGAAUCUGGUCAACGUUAAAUCUAGUUGUGACGUUCAAAUCCUGGGGCUUUACGGUAUGGGCGGUAUUGGGAAGACGACCCUUGCAAAAGCCUUGUACAAAAAGAUGGUAGAAUACUUCAAGGAGCAACGAGUUUUCAUCUCAAACGUUAGAGAAAGAUCAUCAGGAAAAGAUGGCUUACUCAAUCUAGAAAAGACUUUGAUAACUGAACUGUUUGAUUCGCCACCUGAAAUAGAAGAUGUUGACCAAGGCCGAGACAAGAUAAGAGAAAGUGUUCAUGAGAAGAAGAUUCUUGUGGUUUUAGAUGAUGUUGAUAACGUAGACCAGGUUAAUGCGUUGGUUGGUGAGAGAAGUUGGUAUGGUGAAGGAAGUCUUAUAGUCAUCACUACCAGAGACGAAGAUAUUCUGAAUAGUCUCUCUGUGAGCCUAAAGUAUGAGGUCAACUGCUUGAGUGAAGAGCAAGCAGUGAAGCUGUUUAGUUAUCAUUCACUACGAAAGGAAAAACCAACAGGGAGUCUAUUGAAGUUAUCUGAGAAUAUCGUCAAGAUAACUGGAUUGUUGCCACUAGCUGUUGAAGUGUUUGGUUCUCUUUUUUAUGACAAAAAGGAAAAGGAAUGGCAAGUUCAGGUAAAGAAGCUGGAAAAUACUAAACCCAACGGUCUUCGGGACGUUCUGAAGGUGAGUUUUGACUCUUUAGACGAUGAAGAGAAGAAAGUCUUCCUGGACAUUGCGUGUCUCUUUCUUAAAAUGGACAUGACUAAAGAGGAAAUUGUCGACGUACUGAAAGGUUGUGGGUUCAACGCUGAGGCUGUUCUCAAAGCUCUUAGACAGAAGUCUCUUGUCAAGUUCUUGGCCGACAAUACUCUUUGGAUGCAUGAUCAGAUUAAAGACAUGGGAAUGCAGAUGGUCGUUAAAGAAAGCCCAGAGGAUCCGGGAAAGCGAAGUAGACUCUGGGAUCGUGGUGAAAUCAUGAACAAUAUGAAGGUAGUUUUUUUCUAUCUACAGCAAUAAUAUCAUCAUUUGCAUUUGAGUUAUAUUCUCGUGAUCGUUAUGACAGGGAACAACAUCCAUCAGAGGAAUUGUAUUAGACUUCAAGAAGAAGUCUAUGAGACUAGAUGACAAUCCAGGCACCAGCUCUGUGUGUAGUUACCUGAAGAAUAUAUUAAAGCCUACACGUACUGAAAACACCAUUCCCGUGGAGCAUUUUGUACCAAUGAAGAAGCUGAGACUUCUUCAGAUCAAUCAUGUGGAACUGCAAGGAAAUCUUGAACUCCUUCCAUCUGACCUGAAGUGGAUACAGUGGAGAGGCUGUCCAUUAAAAGAUGUUCCAGCGAGUUUUCUUUCUAGGCAACUCGCUGUUCUUGAUCUUUCAGAGAGUGGUAUAAGAGGAUUCCAGAGUUCUCAGCUAAAAAUAGUAAGCUUUCUUAUCUCCCUCUAUCAUGGGUUUUGAGUUGAAGUCUCACUUCUAAAAAACACUCUCUCUGGUUUGCAGGUGGGUUUGCAGGUGGAGGGGAACUUGAGGGUUGUAAAUUUGCGUGGUUGUGAUAGCUUAGAAGCCAUUCCUGAUUUAUCAAACCAUAAGUCCUUAGAGAAGCUUGUUUUCGAGGGAUGCAAGCUUCUGGUGGAGGUUCCUAGCUCAGUUGGUAAUUUGAGAUCAUUACUUCACCUGGAUUUAAGAAACUGUCCAAACCUCACUGAGUUUCUUGUGGAUGUUUCUGGACUGAAGAGUCUUGAAAAGCUUUACCUCUCUGGCUGUUCAAGUCUGAGUGUGUUACCAGAAAACAUCGGUUACAUGCUGUGUUUGAAAGAGCUUCUUCUUGAUGAAACUGCGAUAAAGAACCUACCGGGAUCAAUUUUUCGCCUCGAAAAACUUCAAAAGCUUAGCUUAAAGAGUUGCAGAUCUAUUCACGAGCUUCCUGAGUGCAUAGGAACAUUGACAUCACUGGAAGAGCUAGAUCUGAGUAGCACUUCACUGCAAAGUCUUCCGAGUUCUAUUGGAAAUUUAAAAAAUCUCCAGAAGCUGCAUGUGAUGCACUGUGCAUCCCUUUCUAAGAUACCUGACACUAUCAAUAAACUCGCAUCAUUACAAGAGCUGAUCAUCGAUGGAAGUGCGGUGGAGGAGCUACCUCUAAGUCUAAAACCUGGAUCCCUUUCUAAGAUACCUGACACUAUCAAUAAACUCGCAUCAUUACAAGAGCUGAUCAUCGAUGGAAGUGCGGUGGAGGAGCUACCUCUAAGUCUAAAACCUGGAUCACUGCCAUGUUUGGCUAAAUUUUCAGCAGGAGGAUGCAAAUCGCUGAAACAGGUUCCUAGUUCAGUUGGGUGGUUAAACUCUCUUCUCCAACUUAAGUUGGAUAGUACACCGAUUACAACUCUACCAGAAGAGAUAAGUCAGUUGCGCUUUAUUCAGAAAGUUGAGUUAAGGAACUGCUUAUCAUUGAAAUCUCUGCCUAAUAAGAUUGGAGAUAUGGACACACUCCAUAGCUUAUACCUUGAAGGCUCUAACAUUGAAGAACUGCCUGAAAAUUUUGGAAAUCUGGAGAACCUAGUAUUACUCCAAAUGAACAAGUGUAAGAAUCUCAAGAAGCUUCCUAACUCAUUUGGAGGCUUGAAAUCUCUUUGCCAUCUGUACAUGGAGGAAACUCUGGUCAUGGAGUUGCCUGGAAGUUUUGGAAACCUCUCAAACUUAAGGGUUUUGAACCUGGGGAAUAAUAAGUUUCACAGUCUUCCUUCUAGCCUCAAGGGGUUAUCAAGUCUCAAAGAACUUUCAUUGUGUGACUGCCAAGAGCUCACGUGUCUUCCCUCUCUUCCAUGUAACUUGGAGAAGCUAAACCUGGCAAACUGCUGCUCAUUGGAGAGUAUAUCCGACCUUUCAGAGCUGACGAUGUUGCACGAGCUCAAUCUCACCAACUGUGGGAUAGUGGAUGAUAUUCCAGGCCUAGAGCACUUGACGGCGCUGAAACGGUUAGACAUGAGCGGAUGUAAUUUCCAAGUGCACCGUUGAAGUAAAUAAAGUGCACCUUUCAUAGUUGGAGACAUGGUGUUUUGUAUAUAUUCCUUUUUCUCUUUAGUUUCCUGUUCUGAAGCUUUUUUGCUUCUUUUAACUUCACCCACUGUAAGAUGUUUAUCUGUUUCUUUACCUCUGCCUUUUAUAAUCAAUAAGUAAAAGUAACAAAAAAGAGGAGAUUCUUGAUUUGUGAAAGUUUUGAUGAAAAUGAGUUUCACAGCUUGUCAUAGUACCAAACAAGAGAGACCAACAGAUUAUCUAAAAGGAAAUGGUGACAAGACGAUGUUAUUAUUACCAAGUAGGGUCGAGGUUCAUGUGUCUAUGCUCUCAGCGAGACGCAGACGUCUCUAGAUCUGCUUCCACCAUAACCUUUCUUUUCAAACUCUCUCUCUCUCUCGUGUGUCUUAUUCUUAAGACCAAACCCCACAUCUAAUCCAAAAGAUAUCAUCACAACACACCAAACUAUGCUUUGACCCUUUUGACCAUCAGAAGCAUUAAAAGAUGAAAUCAACAGUUCAAAACAAAGAGACAUUUGGAACCUAAAGGAAUGAAUUAGACCAAAUGUCAAGAACUUGUUAGCUUUUCACAAUACAAUAAUGAAACAAGGCGAAAUAAAUUUUCUCAUCUCAUACAUUCAAAAGAGUACAUUAAUGACCCAACGAAUGUACAUAUAAUUUUACAACAAACAGGACACAAGACAGCACAAGAACACUGACACGGUUAUAAAGUAACAACAGUGGGAGAAGGAACAAAGAAUGAGAUAUAAAGUAAACAAAAGGCUUUUGAUACAGAGAGUAGAUUCCUCAUGCCUUUCUAGCGCUUUACGCUGCCUAAAAAAGUCACUCACUCAAGCUUCUUGUUUGUUGAAAACUAGUGGAAACUCAUCAUAAUGCUCAGAAACACCAUGUUUAUCCGCCAUGCUCUUCAGAGACUCAUACACCUGAACCAUCGUCGGCCUUUCCUUAGGCCUAGACACAACACAGCUACACGCUAUUUUCAAGAACUGCAAAAUCUCCUCAUCGUGUCCUUUACCACUUAUGCUUCUAUCAAUCGCGUCUUUGCUUCUACCAGUACCCAAAUACUGACUCACCCAGUCCACCAAACUCCCUUUAAACCCUUCCACGCCGUUUAUAACUGACAAAGGCUUCUGCCCCGUGACCAGCUCAAGAAGCACAAUCCCAAACCCAUACACAUCCCCUUUCAAAGACGCAACCAUGGUGCUCGAAUACUCCGGCGCCACGUAACCUAACUCCCCCAAAUCACCAUUAUUAAACGAGCUAUCGUUCGAGUCACGAGUCCCAACCAGCUUAGCCAAACCGUAAUCAGUAAUCCGAGCAUCAAAAUCAUCGUCAAGAAGUAUAACGUUGGAGCUAAUAAACUGGUGCAAAUACGGCGGCUGACAUCCAUGGUGCAGCCAAGCUAAACCCCUAGCAGCUCCCACGCCAAUCAUAAGCCGAGUGGGCCAAUCCAAACCCGCAUCACACAGUCCACCACUAUGCAACUGAGAGAACAACGUACCGUUAGGCAUGUGCUUAUACACCAACAGCCUCUCAUCCUCCACAACGCAAUACCCUAGAAGGGGAACCAAGUUGGGAUGUCUAAGCUCGCCUAACUUACUCAUCUCCGACUUAAACUGCUUCUCGCCGACCCCACAAGCGCUAAGCCUCUUAACCGCGAGCGCAGACCCAUCAGGCAAAUCCGCUUUGUAAGAAACACCGGUUCUCGAAGAAACAUCGAUGUUCCCGGAACUAAACUCGUUCGUAGCAGCCAUUAGAUCAUUCAACUUGAUCUUCACGAUAGGUUUCUGAAACAAAGUGACUUGAACAAGCUUGUGAGACCGCAACAGACCAAUCCAAUCACUAUCGUCUCUAGACUUCCCAGCGCCGUAUCCUCCUCUCUUCUUCCUCCCGCUACCUUCUCUCAUAAAGAACCACCAGAAAACCGCUAAACCGACACACAACGACCCGACAGCCCCGAGAACUCCCGCGACCACAAUAAUAGUUAAGUUCCUCCCGCUCAACGCGCCGCAUCCCGACAGUGGCUUCCCGCAGAGACCGUUAUUGUCGGAAAAAUCGUCCUCCCCGAAACGAGACAGCUCGGAAGGAAUCGUACCGGAGAGAUCGUUUCCGGCCAAAGAAAGCCGUCUUAACCGAUCUAACCGGCUCAAUUCGGUGGGAACCGAACCGGAGAGCUUGUUGUCGCUAAGGACAAGCGCGUUCAAGAACUUACACUCCACGAUCUGAGUCGGGAUCGGGCCGGAGAGUUUGUUGCCGGACAGAUCUAGAGUGACGAGGUAAGGGAGCCACGAGCAGAUUUGGGAAGGAAUCGCGCCGGAGAGAUCGUUCCCGGAGAGAUCUAGCGACUGUAGGCUCCGGCAGAGCUUGAGAGACUCGGGAAUCUGACCGGCGAGCUGCAUAGAUUGGAGCUGGAGGGAGAUGAUGCGAUUCUCUUUCUCGUUCCAGCAGGAGACGCCGGUGAGCUUGCAAAUCGAUGAGGCGGAGGAGUUCGGGAAGGACCAGGAGGUGAGGCGUGACGAAGGGUCGGUGAGUGAGUUCUUUAGGCCUUGGAGACAGAGGACGUCGUCUUCUGCGUUGGAAGAUAGGAACGAGAUGAUGAUGAAGAGAAGAGGUAAGAGAGUCUUCAUGGGCGGAUCUGUGAAGAUGUAUCUCUCUCUCUCUCUAGGGUUUUUUAUUUUCCUCAGAGAAGUUCUAUGGCGGAAGGAACGCUCAUUGACUGUGUUACUGAUGAGAAAAGGAGACAACUUUAUUUUUUCCUCUCUUUUGUUUGACUAUUUUUUUUUAGUUAUUUCGCAGAGAUUAUAAUUAUUAUUUUUCAUACUAUUUCUUUGUUUGUUUGUUACUAGCUGGUUUGUUUGGUUUGGGAAAAGAACUAAACGACGCCGUUAGAAUAGCAUCUCUGAGAGUCGGAGAGAAGAUUCAAGUCAGUUUAGUAUCAAAUCCUUGAAAAGGAAAGGUAGUUAUUCUUUCUGGGUGUCAAAGUACAAAUCAAGAACUUAUGACUCUUUCUUGUAAUGAUGAUAGUUUAUAUUACGACCAACAUAUCAAAUACUCGUAAUUAAUAUGACUUUAUUGGGAUUUAUUUUUUGACAAAUAUAGGCUGGCUCAUUCAUUACUCACGAGUUUAAAACUUGCAAGUUGUGGUAUGUGAUAGAGAAAAAAAAAAGGGACAAACUAUUGAAAACAGACAUCACUAGAACUAAAAAGAUCCUAUGUUUUGGGCCAUGGGCUUGUAUACCAUUGCUUACAUUUCAGCCCAAAAUGUGUAAGAGUACGCUAGUAUUUUCUUUCCGGUGACUUGUAGGUUGUAGCCUAGGUGAUCAGAAAAGAGAACAAUAAACGAUAUAGCCGUUGAUAGUGUGGUAUGUUUGGUGAGAAAUAAAUGAUAGAAAACUGCUUUUAAUACCACCACUAUUUUACUUUUAUGAUUGGUAAUCAACAAAUUGGUAAAAUAUCCGUUACCACUACCAUAACGACAAUGAUUAACAUGUUUGGUCUAAAGAUUCCUUCAAGCUUUAUCUUUAUCAUCUUACUGACAACUUUCUUACCGACAAAAAUAUAGUCCAAACAAAAAUCCAAAAGACCUUAGUAAAUAAAUAUUAAUUCAUGUAAAGAACCCAAAAGAAUAUUGAAAUUUACAAAUGUGGUAAACUCUAUUAAACCAAACAAAAUUAGAAACCAUUUCAAUUCUCUCCAACAAAAAAAACAAUUAAAUAACAAAAGAAGUAAUAUUAAUGUGUAUACUCGUCAAAUGUACAAAAUCUCACAAACCAAGUAACCAAAAAAAAGAAGUCAAUCUUGUUGUAGUUGUUGCCUCUGCCACGGCAAAUAACCAGUCACUUGAUCAGCAAAAUUAGACAAAACCAAAUCCUUCAAACCAGUAUCCCACACUUCACAGAACCGUCUGUUCCAAUCAACCGGCUCAAUAGCCUCGGUCCCUAGCCCCGGAGCUCGAUCUUUAGACCCUUGGUUCUGAUUCUCCUGCCAGUCCACAACAUAAGUAGCCACUCUUCUCUGAAAUUUCGCUUUAAAAGUAUCCCAAACUUGAUACUUAUAAUGAUUCACAACCGCAACACUCUCCACCAAACUCAUAUGCCCUACUCCUUCCCUCAUCUGAAAAUGAUGAACCUCGUUGAGCAACGAGCUCGUUAGCAUCUCUGGUCGGAUUAUCGACUUAUGUCUCUCCGGGUUCGCUUGUCUACAAGUGUAACCUACCGUCACGCCUUGCGAUGGAACUGUAGUUAGACCGGACGGACCGUAACUAUGACAUUCGGUUCUUAUCUCUCCGACCAAACCCCACGAAGUGUAGUUAGAUACAAGAGAGCUUAAAGCGUUUUUGCUAGGUAAGCCUUGAGAGCGAUGCGUAGGGAAGUAGUAGAACUCGUCCACGUCGAAGAACCCAACCCAGUUGCAUUCGUCUUUGGCUCUAACCGCACAAUGCGAGAAACCAGCUUCUUGAGUCUUGAUCCACGGCCAGACAUGUCGGCUCACAUUGUAAUUCUCUGAGUUGAGCAAUUCAAUCUCCUCUUGUAUAUCGUCGUCGCUGUUGUUGUCGUAUAUAAACCAACGCUCGACGCCUAGCCACGAGUGGUACAUAAUCCAUUCACGCAAGAAGGGAGCUUGGUUCCACAGCAUCGUGCAAACACAAAGCUCAUGCUUCUUCUUCACCUUCACCUCACUCUUCUUCUCUGAACCGUAGACUCUCGCAACGGAUGGUAAAGCAGGCGUGGAUCUUCCUCUAGGAUCGAUGUGGAUCACACUCACUCGAAACAUCUCCGGAUUUAGCUUCAAGCUCUCAGGCAAAACACACCUCACAACCUCUUGCGCUGCAGCAAGAGCUUGAGUGACCAAAACUUCAACACCUGUCUCGAACUGGCAUUUGUAGUAAGAAGGAUCUGACUCCUUGUGAGGUCUUCGAGUCAAUCCUUUGACGAACACAACCACCGUGUCGCCGUCAAUAACCGCCUCGUAACCAACUUUGGCCCAAUCAUGAACCUUCUUCUCAUCACUCAUCUUCUUCUUCACUAAAUCUCCGUUGAAUUGCAAAUCAACAGACGAAGAAUAGUUCAAAGGAGCGUUAGGACACCGAACAACCGAUCUAAACUCAUCGAAUUCAUCACUAGAGAUCGACUUCAACACCAAAGUCUCUUCCUUUCUUCCACCGUGAUAAACACAAACUAGUUCCUUCACUCCUCUCCCGACUCUGGUGGAGAGAAUCAGCAGCACAUGGUCGGGGAACUGGACUCUGUCUUCGACUCUCAGCGGAGGGAACCUACCGUGAAACGAGCGUUGAAUCGAAUCCAUCGAAGAUAAGACGGAGAGAGCAGGGACGCGGAGAGAGGGUCUCAGAGAAUCAGACCGGACGGAGAUUCGGUCGGAGGAUAAGAAGAAGAAGAGCAAGACGAAGAAACAGCAAAGACAUAUCGUUAGAUACCUUAGAGACAAGAAGUGUGCUUUAGGUUGAUGCUGUCUGUUCCGAACUUUCCUCUUCUUCCCAUGCUCAUACUCCAACAUCAUCUUCUUCCUCUUCUUUCUUUUUUUUCUCCACUAAAUUUAUAUAUAAAAAUCGAAACUUUUUUCUUCUGGGUGGGUGGGGAUAGAGCAGGGUGUUUUAAUAAACUGAUCUGAAGAAGGUUUUAGUCGGGGGAGAAGAGAUCUGGUUUUUUUUUUUUUUUGCGCAGGCCGACCAAAGUACCUUGUUCUUCUUCUAAAGAAGGAAAUAUAUAUAUUUAAUUUAAUGAAUUUGCUUUUCUGAAGUAAUCGUUUUGUGAUAGAGAAAGGAAAAGAAACAAGGAAGACGCGUUUGUGUUGUGAUGAGUCGCGUUAGGCGUCGGCGUUUUGCAAUAAUAUUGGAAAGCCACCGAUUAAUACUAAUGAUUUUCGGAUUACGUCCUUUUCUAAUGGAUUAAUGAUUUUUUGUUGUUUGUUUAAUAAUGGAGGCGAGAAAGAUGCCACUAGUUUUGCGACUUGUGUCCAUCCAAAGAUGCUUACAAUGAGGUUGUGGACCAUUAUCGUCUUUUUUUAUUUAUGUAUACUGUAUAUUAGUAAUGUUUUGGGGCUUGAAAAAAAGAGGCCUAUGAUUCUCUGACAGUUGUGUUGCGUGGUCUUUUAGUUAAUUGUUUCUCAAUAUUCGCCGGAGGGGAGGACCAACCCUGUUGGUACAAAGCAAGAUUGUGUGGUUAUAUUAUCAAUUUGAUUCCAAUGUGUGUAUCUAAACAACGUUGAAUGCUAACAUCAGAAUUAAACAUAUGGUUUAUGCGUUUUACUAACAGUAACAUCACAACGUUGAAUGCUAACAUCAGAAUUAAACAUAAUAUAGUAUAAUUAAUAUAAUUGUUUAGAUCGACACCUUCAUAAAUACUCGGCCGGUUUGAUUAGUUAUAUAAAACGUGUUGAAGAUCACGUUUUGUCACCAAUAAGUAUGUGUAUGUUCGACACCACAAAUUCAUCACUAAUUUUAAAACUAGUAAUAUUCAUUCUAAAUGUUACUUAAAUUACUAUGAUAGUUUUGUUAUGUCCCUUAGCAAUAUAAAUAAUAUAAGCUUCUUACAAGUUCGUCAUAUAUAUUACAAUGUAGGACUACUUGAUGAAUCAUGAAUGUGACGCUGAAGGCGAUUGCUCUUCAUUCAUCUCGUGUUGCCGACCUCGAAAAUUGGUUCAUUCAAUCGGUGAGUUUGUUAUAAUUGUAGAACAUACAAAUCUGCCCUAGAGUAUUUAGCCUAUAUCAUUUGGUUUUUGAGAUAUUUUAUUGUUUAGCCUGUCGUCUAUAACCGACUUCAUUUCUAGAAUCUUUUAUUGACUUUGAUAUUGUGUUUACUAAUGCUUGUUUUAUGUAAUAUAUAUAUAUAUAUAUAUAAUAUUUUAAUAACUAAUAUAAAAAGAAAAUGAUAGAAAGUGGGAUAAGUAUGUAUAGAGCCGCCAAACUGGAGUAAUGCAAAUCAAACAUGGUUCCUUAAUUGCAAUGUUUGUAUUAGCCUAUUAGGUAGAUGGUUUAGGAAUAAGGAUAGUGGGAAGUUGCUAUGCAUUGCUUAAAAUCGCUGUACAUGUUCUCCUUUUUUUCUCACCCCCAUUUUUAAAAUAUAAAUCUAUAAGUUUAUAUCUAAUGAUUGAUGCAUACAAAAGAAAAAAAGAAUGUGCCUUCCAUUAUACAUCCAUCUUUUAUUCCCUGUCACGUUUGUUAUUCUUGUUUGCAAUAAAUCCAGCAACAUUCUUCUUUCCUAUCUUCCAUGCUUUUGUUUUUGUUGCGUGUAUCUUUAAUCGCACGCAAAACUUAAUUUGGUUAAUCCACAUACACAUACAUGUUACCAUUAAACUCAUAACAAAAUUCAGUUAUAUAUUAGAGCAUCUCCAAGGGCACUCUAUUUUUUCCUCUAUAAUUUACACUAAAAUAGAGUAACUCUAUUAUAGAGUUAAAUUUGCUCCAAUGGUUCACUCUAUAAUAGAGUUACUCUAUAAUAGAGUGAAAUAUAGAGUAAUCUUAUUUUUUUACUCCAAAUAUAGAGUGAAAAAAUAAGAAUACUCUAUAUUUCACUCUAUUAUAGAGUAACUCUAUUAUAGAGUGAACCAUUGGAGCAAAUCCAACUCUAUAAUAGAGUUACUCUAUUUUAGAGUGAAAUAUAGAGAAAAUUAUAGAGUACCAUUGGAGAUGGUCUUAGCUAACACACGGCGUAGAUCUAAGAGCAUGAUUAUCGCGGUUUCCAAAACCGGUUUUUGCAGAAAAUUAAUGUGUGGGCCCCACUUUUUAACGGUCACCAAAGUCGCGAAUUAAGGAUCAGUCUUGGGCCAGUUUUUGCACUGUUUGCGGGUUCCACCGACGCGUGGUGGUCCGCGAUUGGUUCAAUUCUUUUUUUAGGACAAAAAAAAAUUUAAAGACCCCAAAAAGAGUUUCACGGAUAAUGAUGGUCUAAAUGCCAUCGUAAAUUAUGCAUGACACGUUCCAAACACACAUUAAAUAUCUACGUUAAAUAAUAUUAGUAUGUUUGAACUCUCAAGAUAAAUUAUUUUCUUCUUUGAGUUAACUACCAAACUAGACCUUCCAGUUUUCCGUAAUGCUCUAUAACGAUUCGAUCGGUUCCACCAUGAGAGAAAUUACAUAAAUGGUUCGAAAUGUUAGUCUUAUGCGAAAUCUGCAAAAUGCUGAUCAAAUAUUAACCAUGUGUAACACAUUUUUGGAUGGUUUAGAAAGAACCAAACCCAUUCUUUCUUUCUUUUCGUCUGAAAGUUUUCAUUGAUAACAUAGAGAACAUAGAGCCAUACAUGGUGAAACACUAAAGCCGGCAGAACAUAUACCGAUCUCCGGAACCCAAACCCCAACGGUGGGAAACUAAAGCUCAACAAUAGGACACAAGCAUCUAAACAUCACAAAUAAACAAUAACUACAUCUUGCAGCUAGCUAAGAGAAUCCAAAAGAACAAGCUAAUAAGAGAUAAUAGAAAACAAACUUAAUUGACUAUGAUUAGCCGGUCUUCUCACUACGAACAUAGUAAGAGAGCAAGCACCGCAGAGAAUUUCAUGAAGAAUAGCAGCACCUUCAUCUGAACCACUCGUUCACGAUGACUACACACGAACCACUUUGCGAAACCAAAACAACACCCACAAAGAAGCAACACCCGAUACAAAUUAAACCUCCUACUCAACACACCCUUCAUCUGGACGCUUCAAAGCCUUAACCUCUUUAUACUGUUUCACCUAGAAGCCACCGAGGAUAAACCAAGACCAAAGACAGACCAGGAAAAUAAACUUAUUCAAGGGAUUAGAGAAGGACCCUUAGCAACUGGGAGCAGUGCCCUGAAACCAGCUUCUUCUCGACAACGAUACCAACCAACUGCUCAUCCUACACCACUGCGCCGCUGCGUCACCGUCACGGAAUCACAAGCCAACUAAUCAAUCCUCUACACUCCAAGCAAGGCUAAUCGGAUUCAAGCGCAAACAAGAGGACCAAUACAAGAACAUAACACAAAAGGACAUAAGGCUUAAACCCAUCAGAAUCCACCAUGACAAAUCAACGACGAAUUCCAACCAGUAGGUUCAGAACCACCAGAAUGGCGGUUCACGAACACUUCAACCCAGAACCUUUCGUUUGUUCAGAUCCAAAGCUCUAACCACACAAACUACAAAAGAAGAAGAAAACAUUCAGACUGGGCCGACGGUAACGCUAACAGAGCCGUCACGCGCCGGCCAUAAGAGAAGCGACUCCGGCGGCUGAAAGUUUAAAGGUCGAGAGGAUAUUAGGUCUUUUUUUAAAGAGCGCUCCCAACCAAACCCAUUCUUCCUUGCUAAUUAUAGAUUUUGAUUCUAACUAGUAACCAUUAAACUCAAUGCUGUCUCAAACUAUUUUUAAGCCCUUUUCAGACUAAUAAUAAUGAUAAUGUAUAAAAUGUAAUUAUAUAAUUUUAAAAUUUGAUAGUUCGAACUAAUAUAUGUUUAAAAUUCUGUUUUGAAACUAUAGACUAUAUAUUUUUAAAUAUAAUUAACAGUUUAAAGAUUUAUGCUUAAUUUAUAUAUGUUCUAAAAUACAUUUUUUUUAAUUCGUGACUAUGUUCGAUCUCUCCACUUCCAGAUGCAAUCAGGCGGCUCUGGUUAAACUAAUCUGAAUGAAAAUGAAAAAAGAAACAAAAUAAUAGAAAUAAAGACGGAUAUUUUUCUUUAUUAUUUUCCCAAAUUUAAUUAAAAUUUAAAUUGUUAAAUAAUUCUUUAAACAUUAAGAAGUGACUAAGAACUAUAUAUAUAUAAAGUCAGUUUUUUUCCUUCUUCUGACAAUUGGCAGGGGGUUUUUACGACACAUAUCAUCCAUGUAUUUUUUUACAUUUCAGGUCCCUCUUUUUUUAGAUUAUUUCAAUUUGGCCAAAUACUUUAUAAUUGUGCACUAUCUAAUUAUUUUCGCACUAACUAUUAUCGUAUGAAAUUUGAUAAUUUAUUUUAUUGUUUACUAAAAUUCAAUCUAUAUAUAUAAAGUUAGUUUUUUUUCCUUCUUCUGACAACUGGCGGGGGAGGGGGGGGGGCUUUUACGACACAUGUCAUCCAUGUAUUUUUUACAUUUCAGAUCCUUCUUUUUUUAGAUUAUUUCAAUUUGGCCAAAUACUUUAUAAUUGUGCACUAUCUAAUUGUUUUCGCACCAACUAUUAUCGUAUGAAGUUUGAUAAUCUAUUUUAUUGUUUACUAAAAUUCAAUAUAAUAAAUAAAUAAAUAAAUAAAAUAAUAUAAAUAAAUUUACAUAUUUAAUUUAUUCAUAACUAAAAAUAACAUAAUUUUUUGUCAUUUUAUUAUUUUUACCAUUUUCUAUUAUUAAUUUACAAAUUAUAAAUUUAUUUAACUAUUAAAAAUAUAAAAUGACCAAACUAAUAAAACGAAAUUAUAGUGCAAUACAUAAUAUAAACAUAAAACUUCCACAAUCACAAAGAAAAAGCAAAAUACCAUAGUAAUACUAAUUCAAUAAAAGUUAAAAAAUAUCAACAAAAAAGACUAAUCUAUCUCAUCUUACCAUAGAAUGUCUUGGCUAGAACAAGCAUAUGUCAUAAAAAGGUAAAAACAUAAAUAUGAGAUAAAGCAAUCUUCAGAACACAAAGAAUCGCGAUCAAGCACCAGCGCAAAAAAAACAAAAAAAACGGGUUAGAGAAAGAAUAAUCAUCUGAAGAACAAAAUCACCACAAAACAAAAAGACGCAUGUCUAAAGCACCACUAGCACAACCACCAGCUAAUAGAUAAGAAGAACCUCACAAACUAAACAAGUACAUACAAGGCGCCAAUAAUAGCGAAGCACCACAAAACUCUGAAUAGAAGAAACCAAAGCUACAAAAGAGUAGCUCCACACACCUACACCAAGGGAUGCAUGAGAAGAAUAUAUAUACAACCUUAGUGAGGAAGAAUGGAAGCCAACAACGGAGAAACAAAAACUUAAGCUUGAAUAUUUUUUACGACACAUGUCAUCCAUGUAUUUUUUACAUUUCAGAUCCUUCUUUUUUUUAGAUUAUUUCAAUUUGGCCAAGUACUUUAUAAUUGUGCACUAUCUAAUUCUUUUCGCACCUACUAUUAUAGUAUGAAGUUUGAUAAUCUAUUUUAUUGUUUACUAAAAUUCAAUAUAAUAAAUAAAUAAAUAAAAUAAUAGAAAUAAAUUUGCAUAUUUAAUUUAUUCAUAACUAAAAAUAACAUAAUUAUUUGUUAUUUUAUUAUUUUUUUACCAUUUUCUAUUAUUAUUUUACAAAUUAUAAAUUUAUUUAACUAUUAAAAAUAUAAAAUGACCAAACUAAUAAAAAUAAAUUAUAGUGCAAUACGUAAUCUAAACAUAAAACUUCCACAAUCACAAAAAAAAAGCAAAAUACCAUAGUAAUACUAAUUCAAUAAAAGUUUGGAGCUGAAAAAAUAUCAACAAAGAAGACUAAUCUAUCUCAUCUUACCAUAGAAUGUCUUGGCUAGAACAAGCAUAUGUCAUAAAAAGGUAAAAAGAUAAAAUAUGAGAUAAAGCAAUUUUCAGAACACAAAGAAUCGCGAUCAAGCACCAGCGCAAAAAAAAAACAAAAAAAAACGGGUUAGAGAAAAAAUAAUCAUCGGAAGAACAAAAUCACCACAAAACAAAAAGACGCAUGUCUAAAGCACCACUAGCACAACCACCAGCUAAUAGAUAAGAAGCACCUCACAAACUAAACAAGUACAUACAAAGCGCCAAUAAUAGCGAAGCACCACAAAACUCUGAAUAGAAGAAACCAAAGCUACAAAAGAGUAGCUCCACACACCUACACCAAGGGAUGCAUGAGAAGAAUAUAUAUACAGCCUUAGUGUGGAAGAAUGGAAGCCAACAACGGAGAAACAAAAACUUAAGCUUGAGACCAUAAACAACCUUCCAAGCGCACAAAGCAUACAAAGAGAAAAACACUAUCCAAACCUGGAGUAGCAAAUAUGGCGAAAGGGAGAACCACCAAAGACGUGAUCAGCGGUGAAAGGUGCAACGAGAUGAGAGAACAAAGAGAUGAAAAGAGACAAAAUUAAAUCAACGAUUCGUGGAGCCAUCCUCGAGCUAUGAAAAAAGAACAUAGAAGUCAGAUCACCAAAAUCCAGAUCUUGAAAACCAAGACGAGCAGAGAGUAUCAAUGGCAAACCAUCAACGAGGAAAUAACAUCAAUGACAACUAAACUCUGACCCAACCCAACGAGAUGUAGUUUCUAACCUUACCAAAAUCAAAUGAAAAAAACCACCAAUAUUGACUGAAAUAACAUACAACGCCAAAAUAAACAACCACACAACAUAGAACUAAUAUGCCUGAUCUAUAACAAAUACCAGAUAAUCUCACAAAAAAAAAGAAGGUGAGAAAAACAAGAGCACGAAAGUGAGUCUUUUUCCAGUGAUAGUGAGAAGCACUGCACACCAGAGAGGCAAACGAAAUACAUAGAUUGUGACGACUCAAUGUUAAAAUAUGGGGGAAAGUGCAAAAAACAUAUAAAAGAGUAAUGUGAAAAAAUGUGAAAAACUAAAAUACAAUUUGACGUUGUUAAUCUUAGAAUCAACAAAUGCUUAAGGACAAAGUUAUUGAAAUUUAAUAUGUUUUACAUCUGAAACUCAUUUCACCACUAACAAGUAAUAUUAUACAUACAACAAUAUAUUAUUAAAAAGACAAACACAUAAUAUAUUAAUUUAUUAGCUAUUACUACAUAACAUAAUAAAACAUCAAAUAAUGUUAUUCACAAUAAAUAUUGCCCACGUAAUCACAUCAUCUAAAAAUCAUAUUUAAGAAAAAUAAAAUAAUAUUCCGCGCGAAGCGCGGACACUCUCCUAGUGUAAAAAUAUUUCUUGUAAAAUAACGUAAAUAAAAAAAUGAAGAGGAAUUUACUAUUAUCAUUCAUUAUUUUUUUCACUAUUUAGAGUUAUUGGUUUGUAUGUUAUUGUGGCAUUUGCUUAUAUGAUACAUAUGAUUAUCUUUAUUUUACCCGUAAAACAAAAAGAUUACCAAAAAUAUUAUAAAAUUCAAUCCAAUUUAUAUGAUUGAUCUAAGCAGUAACCAAAUCGCAGUUGAUAGGCUACUUUUGUAAUACAAAAAAAAAUGAUGGUGGUUCAACCAAAAGCCCAAAGAAAGAAGUGGUAGGGUUUUACAAGCCCUCGUAUUGUUUUGGUCAAGAAUCUAGUAAUAAUUAGAUUCACAACAUAACAAUAUAUUUUAUCUUUUCCUUUUGGAUUAGUUUAUUGUUGAAAUCCGUGCUUAUCUUGUUAAAAUUUUAGAUUUCAUUUUCAUAAAAUUAACAAAUAAAUUGCGAUUCCCUUACUAUCUUUUCUCGAAUUCCUUUUUGAACACGUAUCGUGUCUUCUCUCUUUCAUCUUUCAGAGAGAGAAAAUAUGGAACUGCUACCACACGACGUGGUAGAGUAUAUUUUCGAGAGACUUGAUGUGAAAACCCUCCUCAAGUUCACGGCAGUAUCGAAGCAAUGGAAAUCUAGUAUCAUCCAAUGCCGUUCUUUCCAAACAAGACAGAUGCUCCAUCGCAAGCAAUCAGGAAAAACAGAUGUUGUUUUGGUGUCCUUAUACGAUGGGGCUGGUAGUAAUCCUAACAUUGAAGCUCUGAGAACGUUGGUGGUGGGGUCAACAGUUUCUGUCAAGAUCCCUACUACUUGGGAAAACAAGUUUUACCAGGUUUGCAACUCUAGCUGUGACGGUCUGAUAUGCCUCUACUAUCGUUAUAAUCCAAGCAUUGUGGUCAAUCCCACCACUCGUUGGCAUCGAACCAGAGCCGUGCUUACAGAUUAAUGAAAAAGGCAUUUGCCUAGGGCCUCCAAAUUUUGUAAAAUUAUAAAGACCCCUAAUUACAAAAAAAAAAGAAUUACAUGAUAGUUAAUGUAUUUUUUAGUUAGAUUUUUAUUUUUAUUUGAUUCUAAAUUCGAUUUAUGUUUUUAAAAAAACUAAUUUAUGAUCAAUUUUACUAUAUUUUAUGUAAAACUAUAAAGAUUCUACUUCUAAUUAACUAUAAAUAUUUGAUCCAUAUUUUUCAUUUUUGUAUAUGUUAUGAGUUAGAUUUAUUUUAUAUAUUUAUAGAAUUUGAUUAACAAAUUAUAAUAUUUUGAAUAUAUAGUUUAUUGUAUUUAAUUUAAACGCCAAGAUUUAGCUUUUUAACAGCGACCAACAUUUCAAUUCAAAAUUUGUAUUUUUUUUUUAUAUUACUAAUUCCUACUUUUGAUCAUUAUUUUAUUUUUAGUUUAUAAAAGUCUAGUGCAGAAAAUUUAGAAAAUGUUUAGGUAAUAAAUCAAAACUUUUUAGUGUUAUGUUUAUAUGUUUUUCCAAAAAAAAUAUUUUAUAUAAUUUGAAUUUAAAUAGAACUUUUUUCAAAAAACGAUAUCAUAUAAUUUUUUUUUAAUUCGCCUUGGGUCCUCAAAAACCUUCGCACGGCACUGCAUCCAACUAUCCCUCCAUGCAACUAUCAACUUGGGGCUUUUCAUAGAAUCAGACAGUUGGUAUCACCUUCUCCUGGAUUUGGUAAAGACAAGAUCUGUGGGACAUACAAACCAGUUUGGUUAUACAAUUCUGCUGAAGUAGGUCUGAAAAUCAAAAGCAUUACUACUUGUGAAGUUUUUGAUUUUACCACAAACGCUUGGAGGUAUAUUGUCCCUGCUUCCCCCUAUCUGAUUUAUCACAGCCAAGAUCCUGUGUAUUGUGAUGGGUCACUUCAUUGGUUCACUAAGGGUGAUGAAACCAAUAUUUUGGCUUUGGAUCUUCACACUGAAACUUUUCAAGUCAUUCCUCGACCUCCCUUUCUCCACAGCUUGCUGCGGCUUAUAGAGAGUAUCAUAUGCAGUCUUCAUGAUCAUUUGUGCGUGUCUGAGAGGAUUUGGCCAGAGCAAGUGAUAUGGUCAUUUGAUUCAGAAGAAAAGACAUGGAAGAAAAUAUAUUCAAUUGAUCUUAAAACAACCCCUUCUUGGCGUAGGAAUAACAGGUGGAGGACAUUCACACCACUAUCUGUUUUGGGGAAGGACAAGUUACUGUUUUACGAUGGUGAAUCUUCGGAUGGACCACUGGUAACGCUUGAUCUCAGAACUAAAUAUUGUGACAUAGCUUACAAAUGUAAAGUCAAAGCAUACAAAGCUCUUUGUUAUGUCCCGAGUUUAAUCUCUAUUUUGUAAACCUCGAACCAUAUUUGCUUUUAAGCCAUUGUUAGUAUAGGAACUGUUAUGACCAUAUGUCUCUGGCAAGGUCCGCAAGGAGUUGAACAUCUUUAUGCCAGUUCUGAACCACAUUGAAGAUAUCUUGAUUAUUUUUUCUUCAAGCAUGUUCAUUAAUUUUAGAAAAAUGGCAAAGAGAUACAAGAUAGCAUGAGCUGUUUAAUUAUCUAAGAUCCUCAAAAAGAAGAUAUUAAAAAAAAAAGAUCCCUAAAUACAGAACUAGGUGUUUUCUCAGGGAGAGGAGGAGAAGCUCUGAACCACCGGUGAAAAAGAGCAAGCAACGAUGAAGAGGAACAAGACGAGACAGUGUCUUCAACCUCCGCCAGAGCGAUCGACAUCAAAUGGGACCCACCAACAGACACAGACCGAAGCCGAGACCUCAUUCUUACUCCAGAGGAAACACGGACCCAUGACAUGUGUCCCAUGUAGUGGUUCGAUUUUAGAUCCACCGAAAAAGUUCGCCGGAGAAAUACAAUAUACCUAUUUUUAUUUUUUAUUUAUACAAUAAAAUGUUAAAUAUUACAAAAAUAGUACGUAUAACGUCUAAUCUAAAUGGAUUUAGAUCGAGCGGGACUGCAGUUGAUAGGCUAAUGUUUUGUAACACAAAAUAAAAUGGUGGUGUUAGAUCAAAGCCCAAAAGAAGGAAGUAUCAGGUUUUAAAAGAUUACGUGAGUCCUAAGUAACUCUCGUAUUUUUUUCUGGGUCAAGAAUCUCAUAAUAUUAGAUUCACAAAAUAACAAUAUCUUUUGUUGCCUGUUUGAUUUGAUUAUUGUUGAAGUCCGUGCUUAUCUUGUCAAAAAUUUUGAUUUCAUAUUCAUAAAAUUAACAAAUAAAUUGUGCGAUUCCCUUAACUAUCUUUUCUCGAAUUCCUUUUUUAACUAGGACUUGCUUAUAUGAUUUCUUAUAAAAAAGCACGUAUCUUGUCUUCUCUCUUUCAUCAUUCAGAGAUAGAGCAACAUGGAACUGCUGCUACCACACGACGUGAUAGAGUAUAUUCUAGAAAGACUUGACGUGAAAACCCUCCUCAAGUUCAUGACGGUAUCCAAGCAGUGGAAAUCUACUAUCAUCCAAUGCCGUUCUUUCCAAACAAGACAGAUGCUCCGUCAUAAGCAAUCAGGAAAAACACAUGUCGCUUUUGUGUCCUUAUAUGGUGGUUCUGCAAGGAAUUCUGGCAUUGAAGCUCUUAGAACGUUGGCGGUGGGGUCAACAGUAUCUGUCAAGAUCCCUACUACUUGGGAAAACAAGUUUUACGAGGUUUGCAACACUAGCUGUGACGGUCUGAUAUGCCUCUACAAUUGUUAUGAUGGUCAGUGUAUUGUGGUCAAUCCCACCACCCGUUGUCAUAGAACUAUCCCUCCAUGCAACUAUCAUCUUGCUGUCCCUUUCAUUACGAGGAUCAGACAACCUUCUCCUGGAUUUGGUAAAGACAAGAUCAAUGGGACAUACAAGGUAGUUUGGUUAUACAAUUCUGCUGAACUUGGUCUAAAAAACAAAAGCAUUACUACUUGUGAAGUUUUUGAUUUCACCACAAAUGCCUGGAGGUACAUUGUCCCUGCUUCCCCUUAUCUGAUUCAUCACAUCCAAGUUCCUCUGUAUUGUGAUGGCUCACUUCAUUGGCUCACUGAGGGUGAUGAAACCAAUGUUUUGUCUUUGGAUCUUCACACCGAAACUUUUCAAGUCAUUCCUCAACCUCCCUUUCUCCACGGCUUGACCACACCGAAUCUUAUCAUGUGCAGUUUUGAUGAUCGUUUGUGCGUGUCUCCGAGAAUUUGGCUACAGCAGCAUGUGAUGUGGUCGUUUGAUUCAGAAGACAAGACAUGGAAGAAAAUAUAUUCAAUCGAUCUCAAAAGAACCUCUUCUGCGCUUAGGGAUUACAUAACACCACUAUCAGUUUUGGGGAAGGACAAGUUACUGCUUUAUGAUCGUGAAUUUUCGGGUGUACAAUUGGUGGCAUAUGAUCUCAGAACCAAAUAUUAUGACAUAUCGUACAAAUGUAACGACAAUGCAUACGUUCUUUGUUAUGUCCCUAGUUUAAUCUCUAUUCUGUAAACCUCUCGAACCAUAUUGCUUUUAAUCCAUUGUUACUAUAUGAAUGGUUAUUAUUAUGUUUAUGUCAAACCUCUGGAAAGGAGCUGAACAUCUUUAUGCUAGUUCUGAAAAUAUGUUGAAGAGUUCUUGAGAAUGCAAGUCCAACAACAAUAUUCAAUUCACAGUGAUAAACUCUUGAGAAAGAUAAUAACAAAGUUGUGCCAUCUGAUCAUGAAAGAUUACUAGAAGCUGUUACUGGGGCUUAAAUAACCAUUAUAUCUCUCUAUGUUAAAGACAGAACCAUUUAAUUUUAACCACAAACGCUUGAAGACUUGUUGUCACUACGUCCCCUGUUUGGCCUAACUCUUUAUAUAGCAACUAGCAACCAAUAAUUCAUUGUCUUUCGAAAAGAUAUACAGAUCAAGAGUAACACCAAACAGUCACACAAAUGUUUACAUCUAUCUCCGUCCAUGGUUUUGACAUAACUCCAAUGACACAUCACAUAAAUAUAAUUUCUAUUCACAUGCAUUUGAUCUUUAAAACUCCCACUGAUUAAAUUAUUAGAAUGUUUUUCUAAAAGAGAAAGGUUACUAAGACAUGUGAGUGAGACUUGAAAAUUCAAACAGGCCGUUGAAGCAAAGCAUCGAAUCUGAGAUUUGGCUUUUGCACAAUUAAUCUGAAUCAGUCUGGUCAGCUGCUAUUGUGCUUCAAUCCUCACAUCACCCUCUUCCCCCAACAAAAAAAAAAUAGAAUCACUCAAGUGCACUCCUCAAGUAGAUAAUCUGAAAAAUACAAAAGCAGACCUUUAAAAUCAAAGCUUUGCAAGCAGAACCACUGAGGAAAUCAAAUAUUAUUCCUUCACAAAAAAUAUGGUUUUACCUGGUGGUUGUAUGCAUAGAGUCUUGGAACUGGUUUCUUGCUGAUCUCUUCUGAUAAACAGAACUUCCUCCCCUUUGACCGACUUUGUUCACAUCAGUUGAUAUCCCCUGGUCAAAACUGUUUUCCUGAGCAGCCAUUUCACUUGCUGCGUUUCUGGUCCGUGUCUGCAUUGGUCUGUCCUCAGUUUUUCUCCAGAACUUGGGACUUAAGAACUCUGUACCAGGUAGUUUUGAACAACUCUCUCCUCCACAGCUAUUACUCUUAGGGACUCUCCCAUUUGAAACCGCAAGAUCGCAUGAUAAUUCAUCCAAAGCCAUCUCUAGACCGCUUACUCGAGACUCCAGAGACUGGAUCCCACUCUGUGAGCUUCCCAUGAAUUUCUACAUCCAAAAUGUAUUUUUUUCAGUGAGGAUUGACCCAUCUACAUAACAUCUACAUCAAGGUAAAACAGGACCGUUAAUGACCAAGAUUUGUAUUACCUGAAGUAGGUCUAAGAGACUGGACUGCUGGUUCUCAAUCAUAGCAAGCUGUUCACGUAUCAAAGACAGCUCCUCGUUGUCUUUCCUGCUCUCAUCAACAUCAUCUUUACAUUUCUUCACAACCGGAUCACAAGAAUCAUCACCAUCGUCACUGCAUGGUGCAACCCUCGAGCCAGACCUCAAACCACCACAAAAGCCAUGUCCUUUCUUAUCCUCCCUGCUUUUCUCAGAGAUGGUAUGUUUGAUAAUAUCUGGUCCCCCUGAGCCGGCCUCAUCAUCUUCCUUCGAUUCAACGCUUUCACUACUCCGAUCUUCCAAAGAUUGCUUUACCGGUGGAAACUGUGGUCCCUUCUUAUCAUCCACAAUAGAAGCUGCUAACAUGGUCACAUUCCUUUUUGGAAGAUUCUCCUUUUGUUGUCUAGUUGUUCCAUAUGAUCUACUCACAGGUAAUGAUGGGGACCUCUUCAUUAUAGGCGUUGCUUUCUUUGGUCUUGAAGACUUGUAACCAACCUCAAUGCUUGAACUUCUCGUGACUGAUGAAAAGCAUCCAAUGCUGCCACCAUCAUCUGAAGCCAAUUUUUUUUUUUUUUGUCAAAAACCAAAUCUAAAUUUUCAGACAGUGUAACACACUAACAUACCAGUGGAAGAUCUAGAAGGAGACAACAAGGCUUCAUCUAAACCACUUGAGACUUCUUUCCACUGACUCAAUGCUUGAUUCAUAGUCUCUCUCACACUUUUCACCUGCAUUUGUAAAUGGAUUUAAAUUCACUUCACCAUUAAGACAAAAAAAAAAACAAAAGAUCUUUUAUCUGUGUGUUUAAAUGAUUGUUAUUACCUUAUCAAACCUUCUGCUCUCAAGUGCCGCCGUUGAAGCUUUCUUGUACUGCGACGCCAACUCCUCCGCCGCCGCGACUUUACCCAACGCCUCCGCAGCUGACUUCCUCGCCGCCCAAUCUUCGCUGCUCAGAAACUCGAUCAAAACCGGAACUAACCAAUCCAAAACCGGUUUAGUCCCCGCGCCUCCGGCGGCGAUGAUACUCCCCACCGCACUCAAAAGCGCCGCCUUGGCCUUGAAAGCCUCGCUCUUCAGCAGCUUCCCGAUCUUGGGAAGAGACUUCCUCAGCUGCUCCGACUCCGGAUCCGCCGCAGCCUCCACCGCCGCCGCCAGACACAGCGCAGCUCCGAUCUGCGCGUUCGAGUCGCCUUCCUGGAUCAGCGUCUCGAUGAGCGGCUUCGCGACGGAGGUGAACGGUUGCGCCGUGACGUGAGCGGAGAUAUCCGCGGUAGCGGCGGCGCAGGCGGAGCGGACGGAGGAGUCCGGAUCCCGGAGACGGCGGAUGACGGUGGAGACCAUCUUAGCGAGGUGGGGAGAGAGAGAGUCGCCGUGGUGGCGAGACAUGAGGGACAAGACGGCGACGCACUGUUUCCUCACCGGAGAUUUGCAGGAGGAGUCCGUGUUGUGGAUGCAGCUGAGGAAGGAGGAGAAGGAGUCGUGAGUGAGGCUUCUGGCGAUGGAGUCGAGCUCGGCCGCGGCGAGAGCUAAGGUGUCGCGGUCAGCGAGCUUGUUGAGACAGGCGAUGACUCUUUGUUUCAGAUCAGGAGGUGACGGUGACUGAGAAUUUGGAGAUGAGGAAGACGCCGGAGAUGAAGAGACCGGUGGACUCGGAGGAAACCGUCCGUGAAUAGACAUUGUCUUGUGUUUGAGUUGAGUCUAACGAUGUGAGAGAUAUGGAAGGAGAACGUGUUCACAUUAAAUGUGAAACUGCUUGAAUAUGGCGGCAGAUCGAAACUCUGAUUAUGCGUAGACCUGUUGUGUAAUGUGGUUUUUAAAUGCUAACUUGAGAGAGAGGGGGGAAGUGGUGACAGAAAAAAUUAUUAAAUAAAUUAUAAGUACUAUCUAAGUAUUAUCAUAAUCUUGCUGUUAGUUAUAUGGAAAAAGUAUUCUUAUAUAAUAACAGUAGUUAACUAUAGUAAUCACAUAUUAAUCUCGAUGAAAAUUUAAUUUGAUAAUAGUUUGUAGUAUCCUACUAAUAUAUCUACUUCAGGGAUACAAAUAAAAUUAUCAUUAUCUCUAGAAACUCUGAAAGUAUUCAUAGGCUUUGUCAAAUAAUGUCUUUCGAAUUGGUUUUCUAUAUAUUUUCAAUACUAAAUUUUUUGAAAUAUGUAAUUUCCCGGUAAAUAGAAAUUCUGACAAUAUUUUUGAGACAUAUAAUAAAUAUCUUGUUCAAAUUUGAAUUCAAUGUAGCAUUUUUCCAAUUCGCAGAAGUAAAUGUUAUUUGACUACAUUUCUUGUUUUCAUUAUCCCUCUCAUUAAAAAGUUAAGUCAAUUUUUUCUUGUCGAUAAAUAUUUUAGCUGUUUAAAGUAUUGAUAUUGGCACUAAUCUGUAUAAAAUCUAAAUUGGAUUUGAAGAAAUAGUCAUUGUUGUGUUUUUCUUACAGAUAAUAGUGUAGGUCAGAAAGAUUCUGUCCUUUUUGAUGUCGUGUUAAAUCCUCACAGAAAAGAAACUAUAUGAUAUUUAAACAACUCAAAUGAAAUGUUGGCAAAAAAAAAUAAUAAUGAUUGUUAUUCAACAAUAGCAAUUGUAUUAUCACCAUUACCAAAUAAUAUGGUAGCAUACGACAAGAAGAAAUCAAAACAAAACUAAAAACUGACAGGCAAUGGAAUAUAUCCCAACUGGCGAACCUUAGAACAGUUCCAAAUUUACAGUAAUGUAUUAAUUAAUAAAGGGAUUAUGACAAAAUUUGAAAUAAUAUGAUGUGUUCUCUGAUGAAUCAGAUGAUACUGUAGCUGUAUCAUUCUGUUUGACAUUUGACUUGAUCAGAGUAUCAAUGAUACUUAUCUGAUUUUAAUCAUAUUUUUUCUUUUUUCUUUUAUAAUAGGGCCAAUAUAGUUUAAGAUGAUGUAAGAAAUGACAAGCAUGGUAAAAAGGAGGAAAAAUGGCAGUAAAAAUAUAGUGGCAUAUAUGUAAAUACGAGGAGAAAGAGGGAGAGAGACAUUAAGAGAAAUAAUGGUAAAGCACGUGAAGGGGGAGAUGGAGAGAGCAGGCAAAUUGGGCAGACGAGCACGUGACUUGGUUAACUAUUCUUCCCUUCGAAAUUAUUACUGCUUCACUCAAUUCUUACCUAUAGUUUUAUUUUGUCUUUUCUUCUCUACAUACCUACGGAUAUUCGAUACAUAACCUCUGCAAAUACAGAGGUUAUGUUUCAUUGACCGAACAUUUGGUAAUAUAUAAAACAUAAGUGCAUAACUGCGUAUAGAUUUUUCGUUUCUUUUUAAAUACAAAAGCAUUCAAAACUUGUAGGAAUAAAACAGUUGUUUUUUUUUGGUAAAAGAAAACAGUUGUUUCUUGAAAAAAACUUGUCUCAAAACCGGUUGAAUUAGUGUUUUAAACAUGUUAAAGAAAAAUGGGGCCAAUAUAUGCAUUAAGCAGUAUUACUUGAAAUGGUUACUAUACAAGUAUCUUUUGUUGUUCUAUACAAGCAUCUACGUUUAUAUACAAAUCACAUGUAUCUUUUGUUGUUCUAAAUGAGCAUGGAUUUAAGAUGCUCGACUUGCCUAGAAGACAAGAAAAUUAAUCUACCCUAGCCAAUUUAAUCCGCGACAUGGCAGAUCAAAUAAUUUUCAAAUUUGAGAACUGGACCAUUAGAAAACUGGACCAUUGGAUUUAAAAUCUGAAAGUCAAAAUCACUACUUCAAAUCAAAAAGUAUUAUAUAAAGUAAAUCAUUAGAUUAAUCUCUAUUGCCCAUUAAUUAUGUUUUUGUAAAAGUAGAAAUCAAAAGUUAAAUCAGACUAGAGAUUUGAAAAAAACAAACAUUCCGCGUGUCAUUCUUUCAAUUUAGCUCUAAACUUACAUAUCAUUCCAAAGUAAUUAAGAGGAACAGUAAAAAUAUAUAUCGUUAAAAAUAGACGAUUUAAAGUGAGUAUGGAGGAACAAAGGAAUGAUCACUUUCAUGUAGACGGCGACUUAUUAAUAUGUUGAGAGGAUAACCCUCCAUGUGACUUAUGUUCGUUACUUCGAUUAUCAUGGCUUCAUUCUCUUUGGUCUUUUUCCGCCCUCGUCUUGUUCUUUUCAUAUUUAACUUAAUUGAUACUCAAUAUAGAUCUAAACGGAACCGGUACAAUAACCUAACUGGUAGUAUCAAACCGGUUCUUGGGACAAGAAGUUCAAUAUUCUAGUAUAAGCAUCGAUCAUAUCAUCUAAAUAGCUCAGCAAUGAUGGCCCAUCUAAUUAAGGUGGCAGGGAUACAUAACACACUUUUGUUUCUGUUACGACAUGUAAAUAGUAUCCAUCAAUGCUCGAAUGUCUCUCUUUUUCUUCCUGGAUUCUUUUGAUAUGUGGAACCAUUCAAGCUUAUUUACUUAGAAACAAAUCAAACAUAAAAUAAUUAUAAACAUUACUUGUAAAAUUUAACCUACAGUUAUAGUUUACUAUAGUUUAAAGCCACGUUACACACUUACAUUCGUCAUUUCAAUUAUUAUUUUUACAACUAUUAAUUAUCGAAGUACGUUUAAUACUUUGUCAUAUAAUUAUUUUUUGAACGUCCAUGUAUAUGACACAAUAUGAUAAUAUACGUUUCAUAGUUGAAUUAUAAAAAAAUAUGAUAAUAUACGUUUCAUAAUAUGACGUGGGCUUUUUAUGAAUACUUUUUCAAAAAAAAAAAGGUUGAAUUAUAAUACUUGAUCAUUAGUCUGUCUCAUUUGUAUUAUCAUUUGGUUAUGCUGGUUUGGUCCUUGCGAUACAACUUGAAAAUCGCAUCCUUCCCUCAGCUGUCAGAGCUAGGAUCAUUUUAAAUUGUUUAUAAAAGUAAUGACGUUACUGUCUUACAUCUUUGCGUACAGAAUUUAUCACCAAUAGUACCGAGUAGAUCAAGAUUUUUUACGUAAGAAGUUGACAUAUAGGUCGAUGUACUAAUAGCACAUGCUUUCGAUUUGGGAAUAAAUGGGAAACAUACAUGUAAGAAAUUCAGUUUCAUUUUCGAAAGAAACGAAGCAAUAUAUUAAUUGUUGUAUCGUUCCAUACAUUUGCAAAGCACCAGUUCAACAACCAUAAACCUCUAUCCUCAAAAGUAAAAUUUUCAUACAAAAUUAUAAGAUGCGGAAAAAGAAUAAUGGGAAGAGGGCAAAAGUGGAAUUGUUGUUUUUGGGAUCGAGGACUAAAUGGUUGAUGUUGAUGUUAGUAAUGUUGUUUGACUAAGUAGCAAAGCUAAACUCCAAAUACAAACACAAGUUGCGGAAAGAUAAGAGAAGGGCUUUCACAUGGACAUACCUCAAAAGGUGACAACAAACUCCCACAUUUUAUAGUUAUUUCUCAUAUUUUUGCAUCUUUGUUUUCCUUGCAAGGGAACAUUUGCACAUGUUCUUAUUUUCUUCUUGUAUUUAUAAAAUAAGAGAGUUUAUCUUUUCUUGGAUGAGAUGAGGUAUGCGUCUACCAAUGGAAUUGUGUUGUGGGCGAUAUUAAUAGAGUUAGGUUCAUGUACAAGGAAUCGUCCAUGUGUUGAUUGUGUUGUCCCAUUAUGACCCCAAACCAAAUCUAUAUGAGUUGAUUACAUAAUGGGCCACUUUCUAAGUUUUCUUUGCAUUCAGAGUCAUUUUUUGCUUGUAACACAUUUUCACGGAGAUCAAGGUAGUUUGUUGACACAAUUGCCCUUAAUGAAGCGAACCGGUUGUGUGGCUUCGUUUAGUCUAUUACGAUGUAAAUAAAGUUAUAUGUUGGUUCAUUUUAGUUAGCUUUUUUCAUUUAUUAAAUUCUUGUAUUUUGACUACUGUGCUAUAUUAAAAGCCACAUGAUCAAAAAGAAUGUUGUAAAUCUAACGGCUGAUGUUUAAAACAAGCUAGAUAAUACAUGACGAGGUAAAAUGAAUUUAUUGCUUCUUCUUUGUAAGUGAGGAAGUUCCACUCUAAACUUUUUUUGUGACAAACUGAGUUUGAAAAAUUAUUAAAACUCAGUCUAAACAAAAUUAUUUACAGGAUUUUUAAUAAUUUUCUAAGAAAUCCGAUAGUGGACGCCACAAUAUAGAAGUGAACGUGGAUGGUGUCAUGUACACAACUAUUUUUUUUUAAACAUAAACCUUAGCAUUAACAUUACAUACGGAUUGUUUGAUCUCAAAAACAAUGAAGAGGCUACAGUCUAGAAAAGAUUACAUGGACAUCUUACGCGCUAUAGAAACGCCGAGUUAAAAAGAGAAAACAUAGGGAACAUAGAACACAAAAUAGUUUUGAAACUUCUGAUUGUUGCAUGGGUGGAGCGUAGUAAGCAGGGAGUACGAAAGCUACAUGGGUGGAAGUUGACUCUCCAUCCACACAACACUCCCAUGUGGUCAGCCACACAACAUUACGUCCCCAGCUCGCUCCUCCAUGGCUUACCCGUCCACAACUCACCCGACCACAGCUCGUCCGUACACAUCUCACGUUACAAUAGUUCACCAAUCCGCAGCUCACCCGACCACAUGUCACCCAACUACAACUCACCCAUCCACAGGUCACCAGCCCACAACUCUCCUAUCCACAUGUCACCAGCCCAGAACUCAAUCAUCUUUCAAUGGGAUUUGUGGGAGGCGGUGGUCGGUUUGUUGUUUCCUACAAGAACAUGAAAAGGUUGUCUGGAAGAUUACGAAGAAAAUCAAAAGUUUCCUUGUAUUAUUCAUGAAACUAGAACCAAAAACUUAACUGAAUGUUGAAACUACCAGAUCUCAAAAUCGAAAAAAAAACAGGAUACAUUGAAACUAUCAAAUCUGGGAUUUUUAUGUAAAAAUUGAAACUUCCACUGACUCACAGAUUUGAAGAGUUUUAAUAGAUGUAAAAAUCGAAAACUAACAGAUCUUGUAGGUUGGUGUCAGAACACAGAAAAAAAGUGUGGGUUUCGAAGUAACAAACCUCGCAUGUGGGAAAAAAAUGACUGUGUACUCUACUCGAUGGUGAGAUUCAGAUGGUGUUGAGUAGCGUGUGAGAUGGAGGUUUGUGACGAAAAUCAAGAAAUAAGAUUUAGAAGGUGAGGACGAUGAUAGAGGAACUAGAGUUCUUAAUUUCCGCCGCACAAAGUUUUUUUCUCUCUCAAAAAAAAG